rnacentral:rRNA from 1 species
AGCCGCGGUAAUACGUAGGUGGCAAGCGUUGUCCGGAAUUAUUGGGCGUAAAGCGCGCGCAGGCGGCUUCUUAAGUCCAUCUUAAAAAGUGCGGGGCUUAACCCCGUGAUGGGAUGGAAACUGAGAGGCUGGAGUAUCGGAGAGGAAAGUGGAAUUCCUAGUGUAGCGGUGAAAUGCGUAGAGAUUAGGAAGAACACCGGUGGCGAAAGGCGACUUUCUGGACGACAACUGACGCUGAGGCGCGAAAGCGUGGGGAGCAA